rnacentral:rRNA from 1 species
AACGAACGCUGGCGGCAGGCCUAACACAUGCAAGUCGAGCGAACCGCAAGGUUAGCGGCGGACGGGUUAGUAACGCGUGGGAACGUGCCCAAAGGUACGGAAUAGCCUCGGGAAACUGAGAGUAAUACCGUAUGUGCCCGCAAGGGGAAAGAUUUAUCGCCUUUGGAUCGGCCCGCGUUGGAUUAGGUAGUUGGUGGGGUAAUGGCCUACCAAGCCGACGAUCCAUAGCUGGUUUGAGAGGAUGAUCAGCAACACUGGGACUGAGACACGGCCCAGACUCCUACGGGAGGCAGCAGUGGGGAAUCUUAGACAAUGGGGGAAACCCUGAUCUAGCCAUGCCGCGUGAGCGAUGAAGGCCUUAGGGUUGUAAAGCUCUUUCACCGGAGAAGAUAAUGACGGUAUCCGGAGAAGAAGCCCCGGCUAACUUCGUGCCAGCCGCCGCCGUAAUAC